rnacentral:rRNA from 1 species
GAGUUUGAUCAUGGCUCAGGACGAACGCUGGCGGUGCGCCUUAUGCAUGCAAGUCGAGCGAAGCUUUCAGUAGUUUACUACAGAAAAUGACUGAGCGGCGAACGGGUGAGUAACGCGUGAGCAAUCUACCUUAGUUACAGGGAUAGCCCGAGGAAACUCGGAUUAAUACCUGAUAUUCUUUACAUUUCGCAUGAAAUCAAAAGGAAAGGUCAGCCGAACUAAGAUGAGCUCGCGUUCUAUCAGCUAGUUGGUGAGGUAAAAGCUCACCAAGGCAACGACGGAUAGCUGGUCUGAGAGGACGAUCAGCCACACUGGGACUGAGACACGGCCCAGACUCCUACGGGAGGCUGCAGCAGGGAAUAUUGCGCAAUGAGCGAAAGCUUGACGCAGCGACACCGCGUGUGGGAUGACGGAUCUAGGUUUGUAAACCACUUUCAGGAGGGAAGAAAAUGACGGUACCUCCACAAGAAGCCCCGGCCAACUACGUGCCAGCAGCCGCGGUAAUACGUAGGGGGCGAGCGUUGUCCGGAUUUAUUGGGCGUAAAGAGCUCGUAGGCGGUUCAACAAGUCGGUCGUAAAAGUUCAGGGCUCAACCCUGAAAUGUCGAUCGAUACUGUUGUGACUAGGAUACGGUAGAGGUGAGUGGAAUUCCGAGUGU